rnacentral:lncRNA from 1 species
GGUGGAAGACCUGCAGUUCCGCGUGGAGGGAGGAGUCCAUCACCAAGGGAGACCUGGGAGGUAACCGUGGGCAGGGCUUGCGCACACCCAGGACCCUCUUGCCAGCACAUGGCCGCGAGGUCCAGGCAGCCACUCUCGGGGUCAAAGGUCACACCCUGGGCGCUUGGGUGAGGCCAUGGGACUGACAGUGGUCACAGCUGACCACGGUGGCCGAGAAGUCGCAUGUUGCAGCUGGAGGAGGAGCUGAGCCUGCGGUGGCGGCGAGAUCGAGCAGCUGCAGCAGUGCCUGCUGCACGCUGGGCCCC